GAGGGUAUAGCUCAGUGGUAGAGCACUUGCUUAGCAUGCAUGAGGUCCUGGGUUCAAUCCCCAGUACCUCCA
rnacentral:tRNA from 1 species